UGGGGAAUAUUGAACAAUGGGCGAAAGCCUGAUCCAGCCAGGCCGCGUGUGUGAAGAAGGUCUUCGGAUGGUAAAGCACUUUAGGUUGGGAGGAAGGGAAGUAAGCGAAUACCUUGCUGUUUUGACGUUACCGACAGAAUAAGCACCGGCUAACUCGGUGCCAGCAGCCGCGGUAAUACAGAGGGUGCAAGCGUUAAUCGGAAUUACUGGGCGUAAAGCGCGCGUAGGUGGUUCGUUAAGUUGAAUGUGAAAGCCCCGGGCUCAACCUGGGAACUGCAUCCAAAACUGGCGAGCUAGAGUAGGGCAGAGGGUGGUGGAAUUUCCUGUGUAGCGGUGAAAUGCGUAGAUAUAGGAAGGAACACCAGUGGCGAAGGCGACCACCUGGGCUCAUACUGACACUGAGGUGCGAAAGCGUGGGGAGCAAACAGG
rnacentral:rRNA from 1 species